GACGAACGCUGGCGGCGUGCUUAACACAUGCAAGUCGAACGGGCUCUGUCUGGCUGUGUGCUGGGUGGGGUUAGUGGCGAACGGGUGAGUAAUACGUGAGUAACCUGCCCUCUUCUUUGGGAUAAGCCUUGGAAACGGGGUCUAAUACUGGAUAUUCCUGUCUGGUCGCAUGGCUGGGUGGGGAAAGUUUUUUUCGGUGGGGGAUGGGCUCGCGGCCUAUCAGCUUGUUGGUGGGGUGAUGGCCUACCAAGGCGUCGACGGGUAGCCGGCCUGAGAGGGUGACCGGCCACACUGGGACUGAGAUACGGCCCAGACUCCGACGGGAGGCAGCAGUGGGGGAUAUUGCACAAUGGGCGCAAGCCUGAUGCAGCGACGCCGCGUGGGGGAUGACGGCUUUCGGGUUGUAAACCUCUUUCGUCGGGGGACAAGGCUCUGCUUGGUGGUGGGGUUGAGGGUACCCGGUGAAGAAGCGCCGGCUAACUACGUG
rnacentral:rRNA from 1 species